CCUACGGGAGGCAGCAGUAAGGAAUAUUGGACAAUGGUCGCAAGACUGAUCCAGCCAUGCCGCGUGAAGGAUGAAGGCCCUAUGGGUUGUAAACUUCUUUUGUAUGGGAAAAAACCCUUCUACGUGUAGAAGGCUGAUUGUACCAUAAGAAUAAGGAUCGGCUAACUCCGUGCCAGCAGCCGCGGUAAUACGGAGGAUCCAAGCGUUAUCCGGAUUCAUUGGGUUUAAAGGGUGCGUAGGCGGAAUGAUAAGUCAGUGGUGAAAUCCUGCAGCUUAACUGCAGAACUGCCAUUGAUACUGUCAAUCUUGAGUACAUUUGAUGUGGGCGGAAUGUGUCAUGUAGCGGUGAAAUGCUUAGAUAUGACACAGAACACCGAUUGCGAAGGCAGCUCACAAAACUGUAACUGACGCUGAGGCACGAAAGCGUGGGUAUCAAACAGGAUUAGAUACCCUGGUAGUCCACGCUGUAAACUAUGAUUACUCGAUGUUUGCGAUACACUGUAAGCGUCUAAGCGAAAGCGAUAAGUAAUCCACGNGGAGAGCGCGCGAGAGAGAACGACGAAGAAGUUAGACGGCGNGAGAGNGCGACGGACGACGAGAGGGAGGAGG
rnacentral:rRNA from 1 species